UCACACUCUAGAAUAAUUAAAAAAAAGUAAAGAAAUUAAAUAAAUAAAAAAUGAAUAGAACUGCAGAAAAAAUGGCUGUCCACCAUUGUGGUUUUUGCCAAUUUUUGAUGUUUUACUGUCAAAGAAUGUAAUAAGUCAUAUACUUUUAACCGUAUAAUAGAUUUGGUAACGUUGCUAGAACACAGUAAUGCUAAAAGUUAUUUUUAUUUUUCUUUGAAACUCAUGAAUAUUGAAUUGUUAAUUUUAAGCUGCAUAACUGUUUAUAAUUGUCAUUCUCGCGUGUGGUUGAACCGGUAAAUAAAUAAUUUAAAAUAUGAAAUUUGACCAAAGUGUUUAUUACUUGAUAUGGCAUGCAUUAGAUAUAGGGCUGAUACAUAUUUCUAAUUUUUUUUUUUUUUUACCCUACCCCUGAGGUUUGUCUUCCUUUGGAAAAUCAGAAUCCGAUGAUUUCACAAAUGCUUCAGAUACUGGUGCACAAUGAGAUCAUUCCCAUAAUCAUAAUCAGAAUCAGAAAGAGCUUUAUUGCCAAGUAUGCCUGCGCAUACAAGGAAUUUGUUUUAGUGACAUAAGCUUCCAGUACACAGAGACAACAACAACACAUAAAUAAAUAGACAAAUAUUGCAAAUAAAUCGAAAAAUACAUAAAUUAUAUGAACAGUUGUGCUAUAGAUGAUAAUGGAAUAGAAUAGAGUGAGAUGCAGGGAUGUACUAGGAUGGAGGUGGUAACAAUAAAUAUAAGGAUAUUGCACAUUUUUUAUUGCAUGAGUGGGUAACAUUUAACUGUUCAUGAGGUAGAUUGUCUGGGGGAAGAAACUGUUCUUGUGCCUGGCUGUCCUGGUAUUUGCGGCUCUGAAGUGCCGGCCAGAUGGCAAAAGUUCAAAAAGGGGAUAACUUGGAUGUGAGGGAUCCAGAGUGAUUUUCUGAGCUCUUUUCCUCACUCUGGAUGUAUACAGUUCUUGAAGGGUGGGCGGGGGAGCACCAGUAAUCUUUUCAGCAGUCCAAACCAUUCUCUGUAGUCUUCUGAUUUUGUAGCUGAACCAAACCAGACAGUUACUGAAGUGCACAGGACAGACUCAAUGAUGGCUGAGUAGAACUUUUUCAGCAGCUCCUGUGGCAGGUUAAACUUCCUCAGCUGGCAAAGGAAGUACAACCUUUGUUGGGCCUUUUUAACAGUGGAGUCAAUGUGAGUGUCCCACUUCAGGUCCUGAGAGAUGGUGGUUCCCAGGAAUCUGAAUGACUCCACUGCAGCCACAGUUCCAUCUAUGAUGGUGAGACACCUGACACCACAUGAUGUUGAGUUGGCCAACAGGUCCAGAUAUUUAGCAUGCUAGAUAUUUGUUUGGCAUCUGCGAGGCAACAGCGAGCCACUUUGAUGCAUUGCUGAGUGGUUCACACAUAAAGAUUGGCAAGCGCUGAUCACCUGCCGAUUUCCCCCCGAUCCCAGCCUGACCUGUCAGCAAGCUUGUUAACUUGCAAAUCGGGCUUAAAUCAGGCUUAAAGUCCUGUAGUGUGAACUGGGCAUUAGGAAACUUUAUUAAUCCUCAUAAGGGGAAACUCAUUUAGCCACCAUUGUACAUUAAAGGCAACACAAUAAAUAACUGAGCAAUAAACACAACAACAAAAUCAAUUCAUAUAAAUCUAUAUACAAGUUACACAACUUCAUAAAAAAGGACUUCUAAAUCGUUCUGUAGAACGAUUACUAAUCUAAUCAAAC
ensembl:lncRNA